rnacentral:rRNA from 1 species
CAGUAGCCGCGGGAAUACGGAGGGGGCUAGCGUUAUUCGGAAUUACUGGGCGUAAAGCGCACGUAGGCGGCUUCGCAAGUCAGAGGUGAAAGCCUGGAGCUCAACUCCAGAAUCGCCUUUGAGACUGCGUCGCUCGAAUCCGGGAGAGGUGAGUGGAAUUCCGAGUGUAGAGGUGAAAUUCGUAGAUAUUCGGAAGAACACCAGUGGCGAAGGCGGCUCACUGGACCGGCAUUGACGCUGAGGUGCGAAAGCGUGGGGAGCAAACAGGAUUAGAUACCCCAGUAGUCCCUGUCUCUUAUAA